UUAGUGACAAUUCUUUCGACAACAGUAUUUGGACCAACCGCCAUUGAAACUUUUUUCUAAAAGUCGGCGGCAAUGUGAAUUCAAAAAGUAAAAAGUUUAUUCGCCGAAAACAAAACAAUAUUAGGAUCAAAAUGCAAGACCGAGGUAUACACCAAUGAAUUCGGAGAUUCAACUGCGAAUUACAAAAAAGCUUUCAAAGGAAUAUGCAGCCCCGUUGAAACAUGCGAAGAGUAACUGAUGGGAGAGCAGCAUAUCUUCUGGACAUGGACAAAGCGUCUCAUCAUACAAACAUCGUUUGAAAGGGAUUUGUGCUCAUCUAUUGUAUUAUGAACUGAAAAUAAAAACUAUAGCAAUCGUAGCAGCAAUCAUAGUGUCUUUUAACU